UCAUGUCGAUUUGAACUUGAUGUGAGAACAAGAAGUGUCUGGAGUUGCACAUACACACACACACACACACACACACACACGCACUCACACACACGCACGCACACACAAACACGCACACACACGUAUGGUGAAAAAAAGGGGCGUUUAUUUCAACGACUACUGUAGCUUUAAGAGAAUUAUCGACCAUCAUCACACUCCAGCCAAGCAACGUAGUUCCCCACCACAGCAGCAGCGGAUUAAUAUCCAAAACGUUAACAGGUUAGUGUCUGCUCAGCAGGUGGAUGAACAUGUAAUGGAGUUGCAGCAUCAGUCGCUGACCAAGGAAUUACUGGGGAAGUUGGUGGUAGAGGGAGGCUAUUGACAUGUCACAGGAAGAUGCUCAAAAAUGUAGAGCACAUGGAGAAGAUCUCUAUGCUGGCUUUCCAUCCAGUUAAGAUGCACAGCUGCUAUGAGAAGGUGGUGAACCUGAGCCUUGAGGGUCUGCAUCAACAGUUUGACCAAAUGGACAAUGCUGUGUAGAUGUUUGAGCAGAUCCUUCAUCAGAGUCUCGAGUCUCAGGGUACAGAGGAGCUGUGUAAGAUCAUCCAGCACUGCCAGGACAGAGUCAUUAAGGUAAUACCCAAAGAAAACAGGCUUGUGCAUCAAAUUCUUGCAUAACAUCCACAUUAAUAUCUCAUAAUAUUACAUCUGGCAUACUCCAGCCCUGGGAGUGAAACUUUUGGUCUGGCCUUGUUUUAGUGUAAAAGAAAAUUCAGGGUUUUGUUUCACUUCAGAUGAGCACAAAUUAAGACGUCAGGAAACGUAAGUGACUGCCACUGCCUGUGUCACUCCUACACAAGGUGUAGCUAUUGUAAAACAAGAUGUGAGUCAGUAUAUGAAAUCAGUGUUUUUCUCUUUCUCGUUCUUAAAUAUGAUGUCAUCAUCCCAGUUUCUUGAAUGUCUAAUGAACUAAACAUCAUUUAGCGAGAUAACCACGUCCUGUGCCAAAUUAAUAAAAUGCACAUGGAAAGAGU